CCCCUUUGAAGAAGGAGCACACCUUCUCCCUCCAUUUCUCCCUCCUUUUUUUUUCUCCUCAGGGCCCUUUGGGGAAACCAAAUCCAGCUCUUUUGGGGCAGAGGCUGCAACUGUGAUGGAGACAUGGAGCCAUUGUCGAGACCUACAAAACUCUUCCAAAAAGUCAUAGUUGAACAGCAGCGGAGGAGGGAGAAAGGAGGAAUAAAAAGCACAUGGUAAUCUCUCGGCAGAUAGAGUGCCUGUUGACAUUCAUUUCUUUCCUCACCAAUCUUUCUGAAAGAUGCUGCUGACUCCAAACCUUCUGUUCUGGUGAGUCAGGUACUGCUGAUUACCAGCCGGUGCCUGAAAAGCCCCUUGGGGAACUGGCAUGUGCCAGGGUGGGGAGUGAGUGAAGGGAGAGCAGGACAGCCAUCUGAUGGAGA
rnacentral:lncRNA from 11 species